rnacentral:lncRNA from 1 species
AACACCUACUCUACAUACGUCAUCAAUUGGGAUUCAAUACUUAUUACAUGCAUGAAUUUCUGAUUCCUCCGCAUCCAAGCAGUUAGCCACCAAGCGACCUGCAGAGAACACAAUCGAACCCCAACUAUUCGGGCCACUGCCUCUGAGCUCGCCACCCCUGUUUCAGCAAUGUAAGAGGCAUCUACAUCAAGCUUCAGCCAACCAAUCGCCGGUCUGUCAUUUUUCCUCAGGCGUCUAUAUCCCGGCCCUGACAGGAUAAUGUACUCCAUAGAGUUGAUCUCAACCUAGCAAGCGAUUCUCGCAUCCAUUUUUUGUUUGAUAUGAUAGUAAAAAAGGAAGUUUAAAUGCACAUAUGCUGAGUUGGGUAGCAAAAGCAUCAGCCUCACGUGAGACAUGCAGGUUAGUUUUUAAGUUCAGUAAUUUUACCUGCGGCUAGUCUUCUUUUCUUGCCUAGCUUCUGAAAUCUUGUUUUCUAAGGGUAGAGUUUUCAGGCCUGAAUCAAGGUCUGUGCCACGUUUACAAAUGUUGUAGGGUAGUACACGUAUUUUUUUGUAUGUGUUCUUUAUUCCUGAAUUACAACGAACUUUGGUGCCCACAGGAACCAUAAACUGAUAAAAGUCCAUGCCUUUCAGAAAAUUACACAUGACAUGCUUUUGAUAGUUCUAAUAUUCACACCCUUAUAAUCUACUACCUCUGUACCAAAAUAUAUGACGUUUUUGUAGUUCAAUUUGAACUGGAAAAACGUCAUGUAUUUUGGUACGGAGGGAGUAAUAAGUAUCUUUUAUCCUGUCAAGUACUCUUACUAUAUCUUUGGUAAUGUUUUUGGUGCUGAGUGCCUACAUAUAUGGAGUAAUUAAGAAUAAUUUUAUUAUACAUCAAUGAACAAAUGCGAAUCACUAUUGAGUCGAGAACUAUCAAACAUAAUGGUUUAUAACUAUCAAGAAGUUCCUAUGUUUCGGCUAUAUCCAGAUCUUUAUAUAUUUUUGUGGCACUCAUUUAUUUUGCAAGUAAACCUAUCUAAUAAACAAUGUAUCUCUCUAAUUAUCUGUUUGUUUUUGUAAUUGGACAUAUCAUUGAAUUUCUACACCAUGGUCGAGGUCACAAUAAGGACAGUUUAGUUGCCGAUUACAUCCUCGGUUAAAAGAUAAGCUAUCUUUCCCUGUAAUGUGACUCUGAUUUCAUCAGAAUUAAAGAGUGUAAUUAUAAAAGUUAGUGCUAACCACAUGGCAGAGGUUCAGUUAAAAUUUUGGACAUGCGAAUGCAUGAUGCACUUCCUCUCGUCUUCGAAUCUCAGUCUCAUGGAUAUAUAAAUCUUGUGGGUCCUUUACUUUUAUUCUUUUUUCCACCGGCUUUACUUGAAUAAGUAAUAUGAUGGCAUCUGUAAAUUUGAAUAUUAAAAAUAUAACCGUUAGAAAUUUAAUUAGUUGAAAGUCUUAAUUACAACUAUAAACAUACCUGAGCAUUGUAUAUCUGCUUCUGUCCAUUCUUGUAGUGUGACCAUGGUAGCAAACUCAAAGUAACAAUUUGGAAAAACUCCCCGCGCUCUUUUCAUCUCAUUACCUUUGUAUUGUAUGCUAAAAUACAUUUUUUGCAAGUUGAUCCUUUUGGUAUGUGGUAUGUCACUGUAUUGCCUGCUAUGGACAUGUGCAGGUAUACUUAUUAAUUUUGUGGUUAUUUUGUACUUCCUCCAUCCCAAAAUAAGUGACUCGACUUUGUACUAAACCUAGUACAAAGUUGAGUCACUUAUUAUUGGAUGGAGGGAGUAGUAUUUAUUCAUUAGCACUUCCAAUCAAUUACCACAGCUACGUUUGUACAGUCGAGUAACAAUGGGUUGCUAAGGGUGUCCGAGGAUUUCUUAUUCCUGUUGCAACGCGGGCAUGUUUGCUCACUGGGCAAUAUUUCGUGAUUUCCAGAACCUUAAAAUUGUUGAAUGCAUAAAUAUAUGUGCGCAUUGGUCUUUGAUAUGAAAUUGUCUAUUAGAUUCUUCUAGAUUGUAGUGUGAUUUGUCUGGCCAUACCAAAAGAAACAAUUAAACUUGGUAACAGUUGUUGAAAACACGGGAUAAUUUGCAGUUAAAAGAGCAUAAUUGUUCAUCCAUCGAUAUCAUAUCUAGGCUAAUAAGCUCAUCAGUUAUUGGAUUGAAUACAUUCUCAUCACUUACACUUAAAUGUUCCAGUUUUGUCUGCUUGUCAUUAAGUCACUCAACUUCUUACACGCCAUAGUAUUUUGCCUUCAAAUCAAUAGAAACUUAGUUAUCAAUUGAUAAAGUACAUAUGAAGAUGUUAUCCAGAAUAAGUGAGUUUACUUACAAAACCUGAUGAUUCAGGUGAGAAGCAGUUGGGCAUGACUUUGUUGGAUGUCGAGUUUUAUGCCGCGUGAAGUGGCUGACCUUGCUUCGUCAGACGUCGAGCUACACGACCCGUGGUGGUUUUACUGACUAAUACUUACGGGGCGUCCUGCCGCGCUUCGUCUUACCGGCAUACUUCGCUGUUCUUGGUGGCUUGUUUGAGUUGCCCUUUCCUGACUACUACUUCUUGGAUGUCUACUUGUGUGGCUGGUCAUCAAAAGUCGCUCUAGUUCUUGAAGGCCAUAGUAUUUUUCCUUCAAAUAUAUAGGAAUUAGUUGUCAAUUGAUAAAGUCAUAUGAAGAUGUUAUCCAGAAUAAGUGAAUUUACUUACUAAACUUGAUGAUUCAGAUCAGUAGCAGUUGGGCGUGACUUUGUUGGACGCCGAGUAGCAUGUUGCGUGAAAUGGUUGAUCCCUGCUUUCCUGAGCAAUACUUGUGGGGCGUCGAGUCGUGCUUCGUCUUACCGACAUACUUCCAUGUUCUUUGUGGCU